UUGACGUAGAAUUAAACUCUGCGUAAAUCGAAAGUUCUCAGUUAUAUUACCAUUCAUAAUACGUAGACGUACGUAUUCUAGUACACAAGAGAUUUGAAAGCUUCAAAUACUCCAAAGCUAGUCGUAAAAUAAUUUCAUAAUUUUUUUAUUACCUUUUCAACAGACAAGAUAGCAAGAAAUUCGAAAACAUAACGAUGUUGAUUUGUUUCCGCGUGUACUAAACGUUGUUUCUUUUUAAACAUCGCAAUUACCGAGAAAACAACAAUACUUCAAAAAAAAAAUUAGACAUUUCCGCGAAAUAUCACAAACCUAGCUGCUGGGAUCAAAUCUGAAGUUUCAAAUUACGAUGACUAUACUCAGCUCAUUUCUUAUUUAUUUACUCACUUGAUGGCAGCCGCAUAUCCUUGAAUUACUUCUCCGGCACUGGGCCCAACAAAAUGCAUACCAAGAAUGAUACGUGGUAAUUCCCGCAUACAAAUAACUUUCAUGUAACAAUUAGUCACUGGUUU